GGAAGAGGAAGAGUUGAAGUGGCGUAGGACCCAGAGAGGCACACUUGCGUCAUUCACUUAACGAGUCACACACACCUGCCGCGCUCCACAAAGCGCAGUAGAGGCGGCGCACAACACUGACCACCACCACCACCACUACUACCCUUCCCUCAGCUAGCCAGGCAACACGUGGCUCCAGGAAGGACUGUGUAAGGGGACCCCAAGUAAACCUCUUAUACUAACCGAGGGUUUACCACAGCGCCUUCAUUCCCUCCCCACCCCGUCAUGAAGGAAAGGGGAAAGGAAGGAAGAAGGAUGAGGAGAGAGGAAGGUGUGGGGUGGAGGGUCAGGGAGGAAGAGCCACCUGCCAGCCAUCAACAAAACUCCAGCUGGCUUUGAAUAAUGUGUAAGGAAUCUAGGCCAGGUGGUCAUAAGGUGUCUUAGGUGUGUUUGGCAUAAGAUGUUACAACUACGUGGUGUUUUGAGGAAGGAAGGACAUUGUACACGCCACCAGCCUUCCCUCCCGCCCUGAGUGAGACAGACACAGACAGGUGGCCUUCCUCCCGGCACACUGCUGCUGGAAAGGUGGCAAGUGAGGGAGCUUGUUAAUCUUUGUGGUGGUGGUGGUGGUGGUCGUGUUCCUCUUCCUUAAGUGCUGACACGAGUCCAGCCCAUUAAUGUAAUUCUUAUUUGCAUUCAUUUUAUCGUAGUGUACGUUGAAGUUUUUCGUUCUUCUUGGGAAGGAAGAAAACUAAAUCUUAUGGGGGACUU